UGGACACAGUACCCGUAUUUGAAUAUUUUUUCUUCCAAAUAUGACGUAAAUUAUAACAAAAUUUUCACUAUCUCUUAUUUCAGGUGAAGGAGAUCCUUUCGGCGAUUUUGAAGAGUCAAACGAGAAGGGGAGUGGUAUCGGAGAGCCUGAAGAAUCCACAACAAACGCUACAUUAGCAGAGUUUUCGGACGAAGAUGAUAUGGGUACGAACAUCAGCAAAGGAUUGAAAGACCGCAGAUCCAGGUCCAGCACGAGCCUGUAUAAGGCCAAGAACCUACGGCCGGGAAAGCUUUUUACCCCUAAUCGAAUCACCCGCCAGGAAAGGUAUAAGCUCAGCGGGUCUCUGCCGAAUUUCCUGGACAUAAAAUCUCCGGGAGCGGGCGGGGACUUCCGGGAACGGGAGAUCUACGCGGACAACAACAAUGAGACGAAGGAGAAGAUGCUGGACAUCGGGCGCUUCGAGAAGUACGAGGAGGGCCUCAACAACUACAGCCUGGUCUUCGCCGAGAAGCCGCGAUCCACGCCGCCACCCCCGCCGCCCGAGGACAAGGAGAACGGGCCCGUCGCCCCCAAACGGAGGCUCUCCUCAAAGCGAGCUAGUCAUAAUAAUCAAUUUGCAUCGAUGACGCAACGUUCGAUGUAACCCUGAACAAAGGCCACGGUGGUCUAGGACUGAGCAUCAGUGGCGGGAAGAAUAGCGAUGACCAAUCAUACGGCCUCAUAUCAAUCAAAAAGCUGUUUCCGCAUCAAGCUGCCUGGCAGAGUGGUCGACUCCAAGUUGGGGACAUCCUCCUUGCGGUCAACGGCGUUCCUUUGACCGGCCUUACCAAUUUCGAGGCGCUAGAGGUGUUGCGGAAGUCAACGAAUCCUGUGAACUUGACCGUGCGUCGACCGGUCGGUCCCCAAAGUCGCCGGAACCUCUGACCAAACCGUCAGAACAGCGCAAGUCCCCAGAGCCCCAUGAUCAAAACAAUUCCUCGCUCAACAAAUCAAACACUAGUUCGUCCAGCCCUCCGCCAUCCCUUCCGCCUUCGUUCUUGGAGGAUGGCCCUUCGGAAUUCGAGAUAACUUUGAAGAAAGUCAAUGGAAGUCUUGGAUUUACGUUACGGAAGGAGGAAGGGAGUUUAGGCCAUUAUGUUCGAGCACUAGUCAAGGAGCCUGCUCUGUCGGAUGGCCGAAUUCAUCCUGGCGACAGAAUCGUCUCGGUAAACGGAGUGGACCUCUCAGCUCUGAGCCAUGAGCGGGCCGUGGCGUUCCUGCGGCAAUGCGGGGAGGAGGUCCGGUUACGACUGCACAGGGAUCCAACGCGGUCGCCCGACUCCACCGGCCCCCAGCUGAAACAACCCAAACCGAUCCUCAGGAAAGAAGCAAUGGAAAUGCUGAGUGAAAAGAAAAGGAACGAGUCAUCCAAUUCCAGACAGAGAAGCAAAUCGGCCCUGGCAAAUUCAAGAGAACAAAUCAAAAAGAGUGACUUCCAUUCCAGCUAUGAGGAAUCGGACAGCAUGGACACGCUGGACGGGCCGGGGUCCCUGCCGGAGUCCUCCCUCCCGUACAACCCGUUCCAGCACGACAGCCUCGUCCUCCACACGGGGGUCUUCGGGGCCCCGGACCCGGCUCCCUGGACCUGA
rnacentral:lncRNA from 1 species